AGUAAAGAAGAGAUUGAUUGGAACAACUGAAACAGUGAAGAAAUGAGAAGAGAGCAUGGAAGAGUGGCAGAGGCCUCCGAGGCCAGGAAGAAGGAGGCUCAUGAAGCUGUAAUUUGCAGCCUGUGUGGAACCAUCUGCCAGGGACUCUUAAGAGCUGAUUGCCUACAAACACACCUUUCUGCAGACAAACUUCUCUCUCAGCUGUGAAAAAGUCAUCUCCACCUACUGACGUUUCUGUCUGUCUGCUCUUCAAAGACCUUUGAAGGAAUUACUCAAAAGUGGCAUCUUGCUCUAUUUCCCAGUGGAAAUGUGAAUCCUAGAAACACUGAGAAGGUAUUUCUAAGCUUAGAACUAUAGAUCAAAUCAUCCUGUAUUCAGUUUUUGUUUGGGUUGGGGAAGGAGAGAGAGAAAUGUAUAUUUUGCUUUUUAGGAUUUCUCAGUCAUUCUGUAGAUUCACAGUUCCUUAAAACAAGACUUACAUCAGAAGGCCUGCCAUCAGGAAGUCUACAAUCAGAAUGUCUACUAAAAAUUUUACCUUUAAUUACACUUAGAGUGAGUUGUUAAUUUGACUCUGGCCUUUCUCAGUUCUAAACUGUUGUGUCUGUUCACUUCUUAUCAUCGUGUUUUCUAUG